UACGUAAGGGGCAAGCGUUGUCCGGAAUCACUGGGCGUAAAGCGCGCGUAGGCGGUUUGGUAAGUCGGGUGUGAAAUCCCCGGGCUCAACCCGGGAACUGCGCCCGAAACUGCCUCACUGGAGGGACGGAGAGGUGCACGGAAUUCCCGGUGUAGGGGUGAAAUUCGUAGAUAUCGAGAGGAACACCGGUGGCGAAGGCGGCCAACUGGACGAAUACUGACGCUGAGACACGAAAGCGUGGGGAGCAAACAGG
rnacentral:rRNA from 1 species